rnacentral:rRNA from 1 species
CCAAUAGCGUAUAUUAAAGUUGUUGCAGUUAAAAAGCUCGUAGUUGCAUUUCGGGAUCAGAUUGUCGGUCGUGCCUCGGUACGCACUGGCAUUAUUGGUUCCUACCUUCUGAAGAACCGCGAUGUCAUUAAUUUGGUGUCGCGGGGAAUCAGGACUGUUACUUUGAAAAAAUUAGAGUGUUUAAAGCAGGCGCACGCUUGAAUACAUUAGCAUGGAAUAAUGAAAUAGGACGUUUGAUUCUAUUUUGUUGGUUUCUAGGAUCGACGUAAUGAUUAAUAGGGAUAGUUGGGGGCAUUAGUAUUCAAUUGUCAGAGGUGAAAUUCUUGGAUUUAUUGAAGACUAACUACUGCGAAAGCAUUUGCCAAGGAUGUUUUCAUUAAUCAAGAACGAAAGUUAGGGGAUCGAAGACGAUCAGAUACCGUCGUAGUCUUAACCAUAAACUAUGCCGACUAGGGAUCGGAUGAUGUUGAUUUUAUAAUGACUCAUUCGGCGCCUUACG